UAUAUAAUGCUAUAAAUCACGUUUACACAUGCAUGUAAGUAUAACGUAUUGUGAUUUUAUGACAGUAAAUUUCGUCAAAAAAUACCACAGAACAAUCAGCUAAGUGCUGACAGAUUUGAAACACUACGCACAGCAAUUCUAGCUCCAAUUGAACGACGUUAUUGUCAUGUAUUCCUAUGCGUUGACAGAAGAAUAU